UUUUGUUUAUUUAUUUAUAUAUAUGUUCUAUGCUUCAAACUCUCCAAAUUAACUGAGACCGUCUGAUUUGGUCGGUUUAUUUGAAACCCUUGGAUUCAUUUUCCUGAGUUGAAUUUCGGAUUUUUUUGGGAAAGGCGGGAGAGAACCGAGUCUCUAGAAGAUUUCAGAAUAAAUCUAAUCCGUAGAGGAAGAAUCGUUAAAUAUCAGCGGUCGAUCGAGUGAGGGUUUGGUUAAGCGGAUCCGUUUUGGUCGGGUAUGAAUUGGUUUGUUCUGUUUGGUUGCCGAGAAAGUAGAGGAAAACAAAAUGAAAUGCGAUUUUAGCAUUAUCAUGCUGCGAGAAGCAUAGGUACCAAAUUAGAUUGAUUAUCUUGGUUGAGUUAUAAUACGAGCAAUUUUGACAUUUACCAAGCUAAAGCUUUUGCGGACUACUCAUGGCUCAUUCACAUUUGAAGUUUAACGAAAGUUUAUUGAGCCAGAUAGAGUGCAAGAUGAUGGCCCAAAUGGAUACUUCUAUCUUAAGAUUAAGGAAAAUGAUUUUUUAUAUUUAAAUGUCAGUAAAAAAAAUUAAGAGGAAGAUGAGGAAAUUUAUUAGAAGAUUUUUUUUUCUUUUUAUAAUUUUAAACAGAGGUGAGGAAAUUUUGGUGGAAGUGCUUUGAAUAAUAAUUUAAUUUUCUUUUCCCCAAAUUUUUCAAACAUCAUAAUGGGAAAAAACUUUUAUAAAUCAUCUUUUACCUUUUUCUUUUCAUGUAAUUUUUGUCCCAUAUAUAAAAUAAAUUAUAGA